UUCCUUGUUGUGAGCCCCGGCCCGGCAGUGUCCCGACUCGUAGCCCCGCUGUUCUUAUCCGGGCCGCUAGCCUGAGUCUAGGUCGCAGCCGCAGCCCGACCCCGUCGGUCACCUUUUCAGCGCAGGUCCUUUCCCCGCACGCCCUGCGCUCCCUAAUAUGCCCAACCCCAGCAGCACCUCCUCUCCCUACCCCCUCCCUGAGGAAAUUAGGAACCUGUUGGCAGAUGUUGAAACAUUUGUAGCAGAUAUACUGAAAGGAGAAAAUUUAUCCAAGAAAGCAAAGGAAAAGAGAGAAUCCCUUAUUAAGAAGAUAAAAGAUGUAAAGUCUAUCUAUCUUCAGGAAUUUCAAGACAAAGGUGAUGCAGAAGAUGGGGAAGAAUAUGAUGACCCUUUUGCUGGGCCUCCAGACACUAUUUCAUUAGCCUCAGAACGAUAUGAUAAAGAUGAUGAAGCCCCCUCUGAUGGUUUUAAAAGAAGAAAUUGAGUCCAGAGAGGCUCAGUGACAUGUUUAAGGUAAAAAAAAAAAAAAAAAAUGUAUGGAACUGAGAUCACAUUACAGACUUCUUUAACCUGUGCCAUGGAU
rnacentral:sRNA from 1 species